rnacentral:lncRNA from 1 species
UUUUUACCACACACGUGUCCGUAGAUCUCCAGCUUUUGGCACGCCACAGUUUCUUUUUGUUUCCUUACUUUUGCACGCCACGGAGUUUUUCUAGGUAUUUCACCAAUUAGUUUCGAAUCUUGGUUUAAGGUUGCUUCAAUCUUCCGAAGCUAGGGUUUAAGAUCUCGCUACGGUCGCUUUGGUGUCUUCAACUAUUACAAAUAGGUCUUCGUUUCGUAUGUUAUUCGAUCAUCGCCGCCGGUGAUAAUGGUUGAAUCCGGGAUAAGUAAAGCUUUCAUGAUGAAAGGAAUGGGAUAGGUCAAACCCUACAACUCUGGUAACUUCUCCGGUGAUGUUCCGUUUGGAUUCUAUCAUUGGGAGUCAGGUUCUGGAUAAAAUGUUAUAGGGGAGAAAAGAUGGGAGACAGAGACGGAGGUCUGCGGCUUUGACACGGUGGGCGAGAGAGGGGAGAAAAGAUGGGAGACAGAGACGGAGGUCUCCGGCUUUGACACGGUGAGCGCGCCGCACAUGGCUCUCCGGCAUCGACAUGACAGGCAUGACAGACGGGUCUGCCGCACAUGGCUCUCCGGCGGCUUGGGUUCUACUACAAAGCCGGUGACGACGGUGGUUUGGGGUUAUCGGUUUAGCGGCGGCUAGGGUUCCACUGCCAAUCCGACGACGGCGAUGAUUGGGGUUGUCUCCUUAGCGGCGGCUAGAGGUGAACGAUGUUCAACCACAAAUUGGCAGGGGGAUACACCGAAAGCAAUGUGAUUGAUGCCAUGAAGUUCGUGUUCGGAAAGAAAGAAAGCAAACAAGUUUCAGCGGUUAUAAUGCACGAUUAUACAUGUGGACCUGUUCGGGUUGGAACACAUUUUGGUCAGAGUUUGUUACAGGUGGUUCAGGUCAUUACGGGUUGGUGAACAAUCAAGUCAUUACAGAGUUUGUUACAGGUCAGAAGUGGUUCAGGUCAUUACGGAAGUGAUUCACGUCAUAAGUGUAAAAGUGCAUGCUAAAGGGUGAGCGCAACAAACUUGGCAACCGUGUUGAAAAAGAAGCAGUUGAAGAUGGUUUCUUAAGUUGCUAUAGCGGCUAACAAGUGUUUGGUUUUCAAAUCCGAGUCACCUAUAUGAAAUCCAUAAUUAUGAGGUAUACGAAAACGAAAUCCCCUGCCACUCAAGGAUCAAUGGUAUGGCCUUUGUAGCACCCACCUUCACACCGAAUUAAGUUUGUUAGGGAUCUUAGUUGCGAAGGUUUUCUAACUUUUAUGUAUAUUUCCUGUGUAUGUGUUAGGUCAUAUAUAAUACAUUUUGAUUCUGAUUCGACGGUGUUAAUUUGACUUACUUUGUGUUUUGACCCGCUGCAACACGUGGCGGGUAGGUUUUACAUCUCAG